rnacentral:rRNA from 1 species
CCGUGCAAAGGUAGCACAAUCACUUGUCUCUUAAAUCGGGACCUGUAUGAAUGGCAUCACGAGGAUUUAACUGUCUCCCUUCAUUAAUCAGUGAAACUAAUCUCCCUGUGAAAAAGCAGGGUUAUUUAUACAAGACGAGAAGACCCUAUGGAGCUUAAAACUAAUAACAUUUGCUCUAUCCUCCCUAGUUACCAUCCAGCAUUAUGCUUAUACGUUUUCGGUUGGGGUGACCAUGGAAAAAAGCCUAACUUCCAUGCUGUUAAAUACAAGAACCUCAAUUCUACAAAUCAACAUACUGACACAAUUGACCCAAAUACUUGAUCAACGAACCAAGUUACCCUAGGGAUAACAGCGCUAUCCACUUCAAGAGUACAUAUCAACAAGUGGGCUUACGACCUCGAUG